rnacentral:rRNA from 1 species
UACGUAGGCAGCGAGCGUUGUUCGGAGUUACUGGGCGUAAAGGGUGUGUAGGCGGUUUUCUAAGUUUGGUGUGAAAUCUCCCGGCUUAACCGGGAGGGUGCGCCGAAAACUGGGAGACUAGAGUGUGGUAGGGGAGACUGGAAUUCCUGGUGUAGCGGUGAAAUGCGCAGAUAUCAGGAGGAACACCGGUGGCGAAGGCGGGUCUCUGGGCCAUAACUGACGCUGAGGAGCGAAAGCGUGGGGAGCGAACAGG